CAGUACAGGGCACAAUGGUUUCGGAAAGCUCACUCGAGAUCUCGUCGGUCAGUUCGUCUUGCCUGCUCUUCUCAUUCACGCAGUAAUCCAUUCAGUUUUAAUUGGUUUUGAUCUUGCUGACGCCUGACCUUGCAUGUCUGUUUCAGAUCGGCCUUGAGGAUUCAGGAUCCAAAGCAGACGACGAGGUGAGCGUUGGAUAUGAUGGCCACGGCAACGAUGAAUAGCAAGCCAUUGCCGGCGGGGAUGGGAAUGAAGUGAAUUUGUUGUUUGUUCCUCCUGAGGUUGCUCCGGGCUUUGUGGUCGAGGAGGAGCAUGUGGCGGAGAGCAUGGGCGCCGGUGGCGUUGGCCUUGCAGUCGGGCUGGUUCAGCUCGAGGACAGCGACUCUUCUUCAGAUGCAGGGUACCAAGACGUCGACGAGGGCGACGACGAGGUGCUAAGCCACCGGCGUCGUUUUGGCGACGACGGCGUCCGCAACCUCAUGCAGGGACGGGGCUGCGCUCGUCUAGUUUGACUCAGCUUCGGCCGUCCCGGAAGCCGGAACAAACUAUUGUCAGUUAGUAGUUAGUCGUCAGUUAGCAUUUCAAGGUCAGAUUAACAAAUGCAGACGAUGUUUUUUAGUUCUGUUGUUCCUCUAGAUUCAGUAACUGGCUUGGACAGCAGUUUAGAGUUCAGUUGUUUGUUUUGGGAUCCAUUUAGUUCGAUGAAAACUACCAACCAAUGAUUCUUGUACUCCCUUCCUGUGUCAUGUAAGCUGUUCCAAUGUCAUGUGAAUGAGUUUUAUCAAUGAAAAUGGUGUGUGUUGGGCAUCCUUUUUUUUGCAA